AUUGAACGCUGGCGGCAGGCCUAACACAUGCAAGUCGAGCGAGCGGCGGACGGGGGAGUAAUGUCUGGGAAACUGCCUGAUGGGGGGGGAUAACUACUGGAAACGGUAGCUAAUACCGCAUACCAUCAGAAGUGCCCAGAUGGGAUUAGCUAGUAGGUGGGGUAACGGCUCCCCGAGGCGACGAUCCCUAGCUGGUCUGAGAGGAUGACCAGCCACACUGUAAAUGAGACACGGUCCAGAGUCCUACGGGAGGCAGCAGUGGGGAAUAUUGCACAAUGGGCGCAAGCCUGAUGCAGCCAGGCCGCGUGUGUGAAGAAGGCCUUCGGGUUGUAAAGCACUUUCAGCGGGGAGGCGUUACCCGCAGAAGAAGCACCGGCUAACUCCGUGCCAGCAGCCGCGGUAAUUC
rnacentral:rRNA from 1 species